CUGCCACAGAUAAGUGCGGUAGUCGAAAGGGAAACAGCCCAGACCACCGGCUAAGGCCCCUAAGUUCAAGCUAAGUGGGAAAGGAAGUGAGGUUCCUCAGACAACCAGGAGGUUGGCUUAGAAGCAGCCAUCCUUUGAAGAGUGCGUAACAGCUCACUGGUCGAGGAGUCUGGCGCCGAAAAUGUAACGGGGCUUAAGUUUGACGCCGAAGCCGUGGAUGUUCAGGUGCAAGGGUAAAGAUCCCACCCCCAAAGGUGGAGCCAAUAGGGAAACCCGCAAUAGGGAAACCCGGCAACGGGCAACCUGACGGUGGGGGAACCUGGCGGCAAAGCCGGCGGGAGAGGGAUUGGAGCCUUUGGAGAACGCCUGGGCGUGGUAGGGGAGCGUUCCUCGGGCAACGAAGGUGAGCCGUGAGGUUCACUGGAGCGCGGGGAAGUGAGAAUCCCGGAAUGAGUAGCGUAAACUAGGGUGAAAAUCCCUGGCGCCGAAAGCCCAAGGUUUCCUACGCAACGUUUAUCGGCGUAGGGUUAGUCGGUCCUAAGCCGUAGGCAAGCGCCGAAGGCGAUGGACAGCAGGUUAAUAUUCCUGCACCGCCGUUGUUUCGCUUUAAAACCAAGGAGGGGUGCGGAAGGGUAGGUAGAGCAUGCCUAUUGGACAUGGUGUGUCCUCAACUGUAGGCGAGUCGGGGCAGGUAAAUCCACUCCGGCGUUAAGCAGAGGGUUGAGGGAAUCGAGCCUUCGGGCUACGAAACUCUGUUGAACCCAAACCGACUAGAAAAGCUUCGUGGUUAUGGAGCAAUGGCGACCGU
rnacentral:rRNA from 1 species